rnacentral:lncRNA from 1 species
CGCCGUGCUCUCCUUCUCCCUCAUCAGCUCCUAUGGCUUCCAGGAAAUUGAGAUGAGCAAGUUCCGGUACAACCCCAGCGAGAGCCUUUUUGAGGUGGCACAGAUCCACUCUCUGUCCUUCAAGGCCAUCAGCAGUGCCAUGGGUCUUGGCUUCCUGCUCUCCUUGCUUUUCUUCAUUGAGCAGAACCUGGUGGCCGCCCUGGUCAAUGCACCAGAGAACAGGCUGGUGAAGGGCACUGCCUAUCACUGGGACCUCCUGCUGCUUGCCAUCAUCAAUACGGGGCUGUCUCUGUUUGGGCUACCCUGGAUCCACGCCGCCUAUCCCCAUUCCCCUCUGCAUGUGCGGGCACUGGCCUUAGUGGAGGAACGUGUGGAGAAUGGGCACAUUUAUGAAACGUGAGUAUGAAUGGUCCCUAGAGUCCUAGGGCAAGAGCCAGGUGUAUCGGAAGGUCAGAGGGGGACAACCUUGGCCUACAGGUGACCUAAGGUAGGAUUGUGGCUUAGAGACAGGGGCUCAGAGGCACUGCAGCCCUAGCUACACCCGCAUGCGGCCCCAUACUCUGGGCCCCCACAGGAUUGUGAAUGUUAAGGAGACUCGGCUGACUGCGCUGGGUGCCAGUGUCCUGGUGGGUCUGUCCCUGCUGCUGCUUCCAUUCCCGCUGCAGUGGAUCCCCAAGCCCGUGCUCUAUGGACUCUUCCUCUACAUUGCGCUGACCUCCCUGGACGGCAACCAGCUCUUCUCACGUGUAGCUCUGCUGCUCAAGGAGCAAGUGGGUGCCUGGACACAGGGAGGGGGUUGGGGGUGGGAAGACACCCGCCCGACUGCCUGGUUGCUGCUGCCCACAGACGUCAUACCCACCCACACACUACAUCCGGAGAGUGCCCCAAAGGAAGAUUCACUACUUCACGGGCCUGCAGAUUCUGCAGCUGCUUCUGCUCUGUGCGUUCGGCAUGAGCUCCCUGCCCUACAUGAAGAUGGUCUUUCCGCUCAUCAUGAUUGCCAUGAUCCCAAUCCGCUAUAAUCUGCUACCCCGAAUCAUUGAAGCCAAGUACUUGGAUGUCAUGGAUGCCGAGCACAGGCCCUGACCUGCACCAGCCUCCCCAUCCUUCAGGCCUGCUCCGUGGCAAUGUGUGGGGAGUAUGAUCUGCUGUGGCUCCAGCCCGUCCUCAUUGCUGUCUUGUGGCCUAAAGCCCCUUGGCGUUGUGGUUUUCAGAGGUGUGUGAUCACCUCUCGCCCCAUCAACAUUUAGUUUGGGGUCAGAAACACUGUCGGCGUGGGGCUGAGAAGAGUGGAUAUUCUUUUGAUAAAAGAGUUGAUGCCCAGGAGAGAGCCCAUUUCCUUGAUUGUAUAAGGAACUCGAUUGUGCACAUUAGUGAAUAAAAGUCUUGUUUCUAUGCUUU